CGGGAGGGGCGGGGACGCAGCCGGAAGGCUGGAGGUUCCUGGGAGGUGAGGCUGGCUUGCCUUCUUGAUUUACGUGGCCAAAAGGUAGCAGCCACCUCUGCAAAGGUCCAGUGAAGAGUCCCCUUUCCCCCAAGUAAUGCCGAGAAGAAAGAGGCAGGCGCAGCAGGCGACGCGGCGGAGUCUCCGCAAGAGAGCCAGGGUCUGGCGUGAGGCGCACACGCACGCGCGCCUUGGGUCCCUGCAGAGAGGUGUCCCCAGUGCUGUGCCCUGUUCGGUGCCUGGCGCGUUGCCACAGGCCCGCCGCCGCCCUAGUGAGGAGUCGGGGCCUUUGCGCGCCUAGCGCCAUGGCAGCGUCGCCGCUCCUCCGCACCUCCCAUGCUCCACGAACACUGCCAAGGAUUUCCAAGGAUUGGGCAACACCCUCUCCCCAUCUCCCCACUUAGCAUCUGGGAGGCCCCGUCGGGAAGGCUAGGACCUCUGGGGGUUCCACGCUCUGCUGUUGGUGCUGGCUCCUAGCGGGAGCUUCUGCCCUCACGGGGCGGCCUCCUGGUUCCGCUGUAGGAGAGCCCUGCCCCACCUCUCCUGGAAGGGCCCUUCAUGGUGAGUUAUGGGCUAAAACUACCCUUCUCGAAAUGCGAAUAAUCAAAAGGAUCCUCCAGCCCCCUAUCCUUUACUCCCAAAUAAGCUCCACGGCCUUUCUCAAACCCACCCCAUUAAUGUAGGCAAAAAAAAUAGAAUUGGUAUCUGAGCUGCAGAGGUGCGAAAGGUGGACUCCAAGCCCUAGGGAAAGAGCUCCUGUUUAGCCGCCAAGCCCUUCCCCACAGGUGACUGGCGGUUUGAACUGAGGACCGGGACCAGCCGUCCCCUCCCAUGUCCACACUAGCUGGGGCACACCGUCCUCUGCGUUUUCCUGCCUUGGCUCAACACAUAGUCCUCUCCACAUCCUCCCAACCUGAACAAUGGAAGGAAAGAAGGAAAGGAGGGGCUGAGGAAGGAAACAAAGACACUAACCAAAGCCCAGAGGUUGGAAACCAUGGGUGAGUAUGGCUUCACGCCUAUGAAGUGAGAUUAACUGUUGAGAGGUGAUGUCUGAGUGCAUGGCACGUGUGUUCCUACGAGUAUGUGUGUGUGUGGGCAAGGCCAUGUGAGCACUGACGUGUCCAUUGUGUGAGAAUGUAUGUGAGUGUGUGCGCCUGUGUGUGUGUGUGUGAAGGAAAAUUCUGAGUACUGGAAAUCCAAAGGAAUUGUCUCAACAUGUCCAGCCUGCUGCCCUUGGGGAGGGCGUUUGACCUUUUGAUUCAGGGGAGUCCAUUUCAGGUGAAAUUACUAUUCAAAGUGAGUCAGCUCUAAUUGUUAUUUUGAUUUCACAUUACUGCCUUACUCUGUCCUUCCUCCUGCUUUAAUCAGAGGGUCCUCUUCUGUCUGAAUACCUAGUCAGACGUGAAACGGAGGGAGGGUGGUGCUGUGAACCAUGAAGUCGCAUCAGCCAGUCACUUAGAACUAGUUCCAAGUGGCUAUCUUGGUAUCCCUGUAAACUACAUAGGGUUAGAAAAACGACUUUCAAAAAUUAUUAAAUGCAUGUCGCUGCUUUCAGACAGUACCAUAAUCCAUAGCACAAAAUUCAUUCAAAUCAUUAGAGAAGUAUUUUUGAGUACCUUACACGUGCCAGGUACUGUUUUAGGCACUGAGGAUACAAUAAUGAACAAGAUGGGUGAUGACAUAAAUCAUGUACACUAGAUUAUACUAAAUUGUAUAGCCUCGCAGGCCAGAAAGCUUCACAAACUUCACUCUCAUGCUGUCACCUCACCCCUUUCCUUUGUGGUUGUGCCUCAGCAGGCUGGCGGGUGGCAUACCUUUUUGUUAAUGCCCAGAGUAAGCAGGGCUCACUAGCCUUUUACCUCCCAGACGUAGUUCUUGGAACAUCAGAGAUCCCUGACUUGUGUCUUCAAUGUUAUCAGAUGUCAGCAGAGAUCCAGUAUUCCAUGUCCUGUGUUCUCUGUGGCUGUUGUAAUUCUUUAGAGGCCUAGAAUACUCAAGAUGGGAUAUUAUAUGUGCAAAUGCGACAACACACUGGAGUUGAUACCUGCCUUCCAAGGAGACAGGAAUCAUAAAUGCAUAGGUAGGAAUAAUGUAGAAUACCUUAGGGAGUUUCAGCACCUAUGUAAGUGAGUUAAAAGGGAUAAUUCUUGGAGUCAAAUUCAUGGAUAAUUCGUGCAGUCAAAACGAAAGGGGCAAACAUAAUGGCAUAAAUGGCUUUGGGAAGAGACUUGGCCUAAGGGCAGCAGUGCUAGCAGGAAGACGGACUGUCAUCUUCCACCCACACCUGGCUGUCAUAGCUUUUGAGAGCUUUGAGAUCUAUGAAUUUCUAUACUGGUUUCAUACUCUCCCCUCCCCCAUUCUACCAGCCCCCAAGGCAGCUACAGUUGUUGGUUUUAUUUUUUUAUAGAGACGAUGGUCUCACUAUGUUGCCCCAGCUGGUAUGGAACUCCUAGGCUCAAGCAGUUCACCUGCCUCAGCCUCCCAAAGUGAUAGCAUGAGCCAUCAUGCCCCGCCAGUGGCUACAAUUUUAAUGACUGAAUAAUAUAUGCGUUUAAUAGUUUUCAGUUUACAUAAGCCCCACAGCUGACCCUUACUCCAAACUCCUGAGGUGAGCCUGGCAACACAUGUAUCACGACCCUUGACAGACAAAGCAGCAGAGUUUCAGCAAUGUUAAACCGUUUGCCCACAUCUGAUAAGAGGCAGCAUGUGGACUUCUAACACAUCUGAUUUCCAAUUUGUGGCUCUUUCUAAAACCCGUGCUGUCCUUCAGGGCAGCAAUAGUGUAAUUCUAAAUUGUUCAUCAAGAGAAGGAACUAUGCAAUGACACUAAGCCUAUGAAAAUGCUAUGCUUACCAUCCUCAAAUUGAAUUUGAUCAGAGGCCAAGUGUUCCUGGCACCAUGCCCUCAAGAUCCAGGAGGAUCCUCAGAAAAAGUUCAUGACCAGAAUAUUGCAGUCAUGCUCUUCAUAUGGGAAUGUGGUGGGCAUUCUUCUUCCAGUGCCCCCAGUUCCACUAUCCUAUUAAGAAUCCACAAAUGGAAAUGUGGAAAAUCAGCAAUUAGUCAUAACUCUGAUUGGAAACCAGUUUGAAGACCAUCUGAAAAUCCCUUUCCAGCCUCAGAGGGACAGUAACUGUAUUUUCCUGUUGUCAGAGCACCAUCUACUGGUCUCUGUGAGAUGUCACUGUGAGCACAAGUGCUUGACAGCCAGCACCCCAUGCACCAUGCCUCAGAGCCUAGACAUUCCUAGGCUCUGACCUCUUGUCAACAGCCCUCUACUCCCCUAUGGGACUUUGUUGAGGUCCUAAAUUUCACCACAAUGCAGCCAGCCCAUCUCACAGUACUUGGAAAGUACAGUCCCACACACACCCUCCCAAGUUAAGAUGGGGUUACCAAAUGCUCCAUGUUUUUCUGAAAGCAGUGACCUGCAAAGUGGAAACCCGACAGGAGCUAAGGAAGCAAGUGGAAAACUUUCCUAGUUUAUAAAGCCUAUGAAGACUCUUUCAUUUCAAAGCAUUUAACCUGGAGCCCCUCUACUGCAGUGUAUGAUCGAGCUGCAAUCAAGAGUGCAGGGGACUGAUCGGUAGUCCCUCCAGCCUCUUCUGGAAAAGGCAGAAAACAAGGUGUCCACACUGCCGCAGACCAUACAGCCUGUGGGAGUUUAUACUAAGACAGAUGGACAUGAGUGGCAAAGUUGGAGAAGCAGUUGGCCUAUUACCCUCAUUCUUAAGCUCUUCCCAGAUCUGUCAGGCCUUAGGCCAUCUUCAUAAGAGAUUUUUCAGCCAUCACUGAGAAGUCUGUGAAUGUGGGCUUCAUCCAAAAGGCCUGUGCCCCUCCUACCAGGCCUGCUCCUUCAUCUUCCCCCACCCUGCCAGUUACACUCAGAUAGCUUAUGCUUAAGUUAUCAGAGCCCCUUUUGUUCUAUUUUUCCUCCGUUGAGCUUUUCCAAGAAAUAGACUCUUAUGCAAAGCAGUGCUCUAAGGAACAUAAUGCAGAGAGGAUUUGGGAGUGGGUUCUUAAGAAAAAAGUUGGCAGGAGACCAUGUGCAAAUGCAUAGUGGAGCAGAGGAGCAUUAUGGCAAUGCAGACAUCUUGGGAGUCUGGUGGCUUUCACAAUACCUCACAGCCCUUUCUUGGGUGAAAACAUAACUUCACAUCCUUAUGUAAUGUCCAUCCCUAGAAUCAGCAUCUCUCAAACCUAAGCCCGAGAAGCCCCACACUCCAACAUGCAAUCAGCUAACCACAGGUCAGCAAAGUAGGCUUUAAAAUGUUUUAAAAACCAUUCAUUUAUGACAAUCCAUCACUUCCUGGGUGCCAACUGUAAUGUUUUCUCAUUGUAUCUUUGUGGAAGGACUGUGAGGCACAUCCUGUUAUCUGACACCCAGAGGGUCAGGGACUUGUCCCAGUGCACAGAGCUAGGAAAUAGCAGAUCUGGAUCUCCUAAUAAUAAGGACAGGAUUCUUCGCAAUAUGUGACCAUUAUUAACAUACUGCAUGUCAAAAUAAUAUUUUCCUUGCUUGAGAGUCAAGUUAUAAGCAGGAUCUUGAGCUUUAGAGAGGUAAGGCAUGACCUUGAACCAGAGAGUCUCCUAGAGGGUUUAACUGCUAAGAAUACAUACCAUUCUGCUCCACUGGGCUGUUAUGAUAAUUAAGUUAGUUAAUAUGCAUAAAGCUUUUAGAUCAGUACCUGGCACACAAUAAGUAAGUGCUACAUAAGUACUUGUUAUGUAUAUUUCACCUUCAGUAACUGUGACCACGGUAACACACUGGAAACACUGCAUGUCUACAGACUCUGUUUCUGAAAGCCGACUUCAGAAGUGCAGCCAGGGAUGAACACACUCUGUUGUGCGGGGGAUGGACAGAGGAGCACAGACAUGACCCAACCUUGCUGCUCAGCCAAGGCAAAGUACAGCAGGAGGACUCAGCAGCGCUCCAGCUCCCACUGAUGGGGAUGAGCAGAGGGUGAGAACAACCAGCAGGAGCACAUCCAUCCAUCCACCCCCACGGCCUCUUGACUCAGAAAACACAACACAGCCCACACCUUGCAAAGCUCAUUCAGCCCGGGUGGGCUCAGGCAGAUUCAUUCAUUUAGCAGACAUGCAAUGAGCACCUUCCACGUGUCAGGUAUCAUGUCAGGGGCUAACCCAAAGGAGGCAGUGCCUAGGAGAAGGUGCCCAGGUUGGAUUCAUGUCUUGCCUGGUCUUGAUCCACUCCCUACAUUUCACUCUUGAAGAUAAUGCCACAGUAACAGAAAAUGCAGCUCACAGCUGCAGUCAAGCCUAGAGGGUCCCUGAAGGCCCAGAGAAGAGAAUAAGAUUCCACUGCACCCACCAGUCUUGCCUCUCCAAGAACCCUUUGUGUUGGAAUCAUCAGCAGAUUAAGCCACCACCUGUCCAUCACCACACCCUCUCUCUCCCACUCUUUCCUACACUGAGCAGCUGGUUACACCCACCUGGUAUAAAAUAAUCAAAGUGAAGAAGGCAUUCCCAUAUGAUAUGGACUUAAGGCCAGUUUUGAAAUGUACACCUGGGUAGGCCAUUUACUAGCUCUGCCCCUUCUACUCCACAGAAAUUGCUCUAAGACUCCCACUGAACUGCUGAUGGUCCUUUUUUUACCCUCCUUUUCCUUGACCACUCUGCAGCAUUUGACACCACUGACCUCCCCCUCUCCUCAGAGGUCGUCCUUCUUGGCAUCCCAGUUACCACAUCUCCCAGUUUCUCAUCGUUUCCUUCUCCUUCUCUUACUGCUCUCACCUGUGGGGCACCCGUGGGUCUGUCCCAAACCCGUUUCUCUCCUCUGUCUAAUUUCUCUCUCUUCAAGGUUAUAUCCUUACCUGCCAUUUCAACUACCCCCUCCACACCACAUCUAGCUCCUAGACCUCACCUUUUGACUCAUUUCCAGACCCAGGUGUCCAAUUAAGUUAGGGGUAGCUGUAUAUGGAUUAUCCCUCAUCCCCAGACUCAAUAUGUGUAAAAGUGACAUCACUGUAAAUCCUUCAAAGCAAGCUCCCCCUCCUAAAAUGCCAGUUGCUAUGCAUGUUAGGUUUUCAUCACUUCAGUGGCUCCCCCACUGCCUAUAAAAUGGCCAAACAGCUUAGCCUGACAAUUCAAGGCAAUCAGAAUUCAACCUAUCUUUCCAACACCAUCUCCUCAUGUAUCAUAGUAUGAGGUACAUAAAUAAACGUGUCAUGCCCACUCCUGCCUCAAAGCCCUGCUCACAGCACCUGCUUCACACUGCCCCAAAAACAUUCUUCCUCUUUUCUGCUUCUCCCAUUCCUAGGCAUCCUUCUAUGGAUGGUUCAGUUCAAAUCUGCUCUCCCACAAAGCCUUUCAUAAUCGCUCCAACUCUAUGACGUGUACCUCCUAUAAAUUCACAGAACUUCUGUAUCAUUCAUAGUACCGUGUUUUCUCACUGAUAUCAUCAUGACUGUAACUUCACCAUUACAUUCAUAUUAAUUUUUCAAUUAUGUAUGCCUUGUCUCCUCAACUAUGGUGUAAGCUUCUCAAGAGUAAAGGACAUAUCUUUCUCUUUGUUUUAUUACCUAGAGUGCCUGCAUUAUGUUAUCCUCAUAGCAAGCCUUUGCAAAAUAAAUUGUCAAUGAAUGCAUGGAUCUCCUGCAACUGUUAUUGGUGGAAAAGAGCUUCGGCAUCAAUCAGCCUGCCAGCAAGACAUCCCCAGCCAACUGGAGACGACCCCUAGCCAGCUACUAUGGCAACAAGAGGACAAACUGGGGCAUGAGAAAUCAUGACACACAGCGUAAAAGAGCAGUUUGAAGAACAAGAACAGACUUUCUGGAAAACUGCUAGAAAGGCAGGAAAAGGCACUAGAGAAGUGGAGGAGCCUCUAGCCGCUAUGGGAGCUGGCUCACACACAGAUGGACUUAGACGUCGUGCGGAAUCCAUGCGGGCCGACAUCCUCACCCACUCCCAGCCUCGAGGUUCUCCUUUCCGUCCCUGCCCCAUCUCCCACCUGUCCCUUCCCCCAACAUCCUGGGGAGCAAGGAUCCUGUCCCAUAGUGGGAACGUACCAAGGUCUUAGAAAAUCACCAGUUAUUCUUUUUGUCAUGUGCAAACCACAUUGAGCUGAGACAUUUCUCCUAUUCCUGGCCUCAGACAUUUGUUCAACUUCAUCUGUAUGUUCAACUCCUGACUGUGAGCAGGUAAGCACUUGGGCUGAGUCAGCACCAGGCAGUGGGCUCAGAGGGAACUUGCCCCUAUGCACAUUCCCUGCAGGUAGGGAAAAGCUAUGGCUGCCAGCCCUGCUUAUUGUGCCUAGCACAUGAAAUCUGCUAGGCUCCCCCUGCAGAAGUUGUCCAAGCUGACCGGCACCAAGUAAGACCAGUCACAGUAAUGCUUCAGACUCUGUCAUCCAUGCCCUCUUGUCUCCAACGCUGGAGUCACUCCAUUUGUAAGGAACAGUAUGACAGUAUUCCUUGGCUGACAUUUUCUUCCUUCUCUACAGCAUGUCCUAAAAGCCCACCAAUCUCAUCUUCCUCCUUGUUUUGAUGAACUGUAUGUUUAUUUUUCCCCCAAAUUCAUACGUUGAAUCCUAACCCGCUAUGGGGAUGGUAUUAGGAGGUGGGACCUUUGGGAAGUGAUUAGGUCAUAAGGGUGGAGCCCCCAUGAAUGAGACUAGUGCCCUUUUAAAAGAGGCCCCAAAGAGAUCCUUUGCCCCUUACACCAUGUAAGGUUACAGUGGAAAGAAAAGUAUCCAUCAGGCAGAGGGCGCUUGUCAGACACCGAAUCUACCAGUACCUUGAUCUUGGACUUCCCAGCCUCCAGAACUAUAAAAAAAUAAAUAAAUUUCUGUUGUUACAAGCCACCUGCUUUGUGGUACUUUAUUAUAGAGGCCCACAGACUAAGACACUUAUCUUUCAGUAGAAAAGUGAGCACAAGACCCCUUGACUUUUCUCAGCAACAUCUGAAAUCUCAAACAGGCAGUCUUAAAGAUUAAAAUUACAAUUUUUCCCUUUUCAAAUCUCUAGGGAAAGACAGGUGGAGGAGGAAGGGAGAAAAAAGUCUUCUCCACCUCCAGCUGCCACAUCCCACGGCCCCACAGCUAACACUGCAGGUAAAUAUUAGCUCCCGUUGGAGUUGAAGAAUACCAAAGAGAGAGUGAGAGAGAGAGGGAGACAGAAGAGAGGGUGAACAUGAAUUUCUGCUGCUUAGUGCCUUCCUGGCAGCGUGGGAAGCUGGUUGAAUAAGCAAAAUAUGAGCUCUCAACUCCAGGCACAUAAAUAAGCUCAAAUAGAUCUACUGCUCUUAGCAGCCCCAGAGGGAGGCAUAAAGAAAGAUGGCUUCCUUGGCCCCAACCCUCUCCAUGCUUGUAGCCAGUCAGUUACUGGAAGCAAGGACUUCUUCCCCCUGAGGAGGAGGA